CUUUAAUCUGACAGUAGACACAGCACAGGCGAGACACAGCACAGGUGAGACACAGCACAGGUGAGACACAGCACAGGUGAGACACAACACAGGUGAGACACAGCACAUUGAGACACAGCACAGGUGAGACACAGCACAGGUGAGACACAGCACAGGUGAGACACAACACAGGUGAGACACAGCACAGGUGAGACACAGCACAUUGAGACACAGCACAGGUGAGACACAGCACAGGUGAGACACAGCACAGGUGAGACACAGCACAGGUGAGACACAGCACAGGUGAGACACAACACAGGUGAGACACAGCACAGGUGAGACACAGCACAUUGAGACACAGCACAGGUGAGACACAGCACAGGUGAGACACAGCACAUUGAGACACAGCACAGGUGAGACACAGCACAGGUGAGACACAACACAGGUGAGACACAACACAGGUGAGACACAGCACAUUGAGACACAGCACAGGUGAGACACAACACAGGUGAGACACAGCACAUUGAGACACAGCACAGGUGAGACACAACACAGGUGAGACACAGCACAGGUGAGACACAAACAUCAGCUGCUUAGCUUAG